rnacentral:rRNA from 1 species
UACGAGGGGUGCAAGCGUUGCUCGGAAUUAUUGGGCGUAAAGGGUAGGUAGGUGGUCUUAUUUGUCAGGGGUGAAAGCCUUGGGCUUAACUCAAGAAGUGCCCCUGAAACGGUAAGACUAGAGUCUUGGAGAGGGUCGUGGAAUUCCCGGUGUAGCGGUGAAAUGCGUAGAGAUCGGGAGGAACACCAGAGGCGAAGGCGGCGACCUGGACAAGUACUGACACUCAACUACGAAAGCGUGGGGAGCAAACAGGAUUAGAUACCCUGGUAGUCCACGCUGUAAACGAUGGGCACUCGAUUUGGCGGGUCUUGACCCCUGCCGAGUCUGAGCUAACGCGAUAAGUGCCCCGCCUGGGAAGUACGGUCGCAAGACUA